rnacentral:rRNA from 1 species
AAUACUCUUACGGGAGGCAGCAGUGGGGGAAUAUUGCACAAUGGGCGAAAGCCUGAUGCAGCGGACGCCGCGUGAGGGAUGACGGCCUUCGGGUUGUAAACCUCUUUCAGCAGGGAAGAAGCGAAAGUGACGGUCCCUGCAGAAGAAGCGCCGGCUAACUACGUGCCAGCAGCCGCGGUAAUACGUAGGGCGCGAGCGUCCUCCGGAAUUAUUGGGCGUAAAGAGCUCGUAGGCGGCUUGUCACGUCGGUUGUGAAAGCCCGGGGCUUAACCCCGGGUCUGCAGUCGAUACGGGCAGGCUAGAGUUCGGUAGGGGAGAUCGGAAUUCCUGGUGUAGCGGUGAAAUGCGCAGAUAUCAGGAGGAACCACCGGUGGCGAAGGCGGAUCUCUGGGCCGAUACUGACGCUGAGGAGCGAAAGCGUGGGGAGCGAACAGGAUUAGAUACCCUGGUAGUCCACGCCGUAAACGGUGGGCACUAGGUGUGGGCGACAUUCCACGUCGUCCGUGCCGCAGCUAACGCAUUAAGUGCCCCGCCUGGGGAGUACGGCCGCAAGGCUAAAACUCAAAGGAAUUGACGGGGGCCCGCACAAGCGGCGGAGCAUGUGGAUUGAUUCGACGCAACGCGAAGAACCUUACCAAGGCUUGACAUACACCGGAAAACCGUGAGAUCAGGUUCCCCC